AGCAGCCGCGGUAAUUCCAGCUCCAAUAGCGUAUAUUAAAGUUGUUGCAGUUAAAAAGCUCGUAGUUGAAUUUCGGGGUCAGUAGGUUGGUCAUGCCACUGGUAUGUACUGGCCUCACUGAUUCCUCCUUCCUGAUGAGCCGUAAUGCCAUUAAUUUGGUGUUGCGAGGAAUCUGGACUGUUACUUUGAAAAAAUUAGAGUGUUUAAAGCAGGCUAACGCUUGAAUACAUUAGCAUGGAAUAAUGAAAUAGGACGUUCGAUCUUAUUUUGUUGGUUUCUAAGAUUGACGUAAUGAUUAAUAGGGAUAGUUGGGGCAUUAGUAUUCAAUUGUCAGAGGUGAAAUUCUUGGAUUAUUGAAGACUAACUACUGCGAAAGCAUUUGCCAAGGAUGUUUUCAUUAAUCAAGAACGAAGUUAGGGAUCGAAGACGAUCAGAUACCGUCGUAGUCUUAACCAUAAACUAUGCCGACUAGGGAUCGGAUGAUGUUAA
rnacentral:rRNA from 1 species